UGCAUCCUGCAGCGGGCUCCCC
rnacentral:miRNA from 1 species